GAGGCAGGGUCUUGUCUCGGCAUCAAGCCGCUCGAGCUCUGACCUGGUUUGGUGAGCUGAUGUGAGCAGUCACACUGACAAGGAUGAAAGAAGAAUGCGUCCUCAGGUUUUGGUAGCAGCGUUAUACUGACCUCAUUAAAUGAGUUGGAGAAGCAUUCCCCCCUCUUGUAUUUCCUGGAAGAGUUUGUGGGAAUACAAAAACUGUACUUUGAACAGCCACUAUUGGAGACGAGAAAGCCACUUCUCAAGGUAGGAUCUGUGCAAUAUUAAAAUUAUCUUACGUUUUUGUGGCUAGAAUUACUGUGCUUGGUUUAAGAAUGGGACAAACUAGAAUAAAGAUCAUUAGGCCAUCCCAGUAGAUUUGGGAAGUAUUUGCAAAAUGUCCUUUAAGAUAUGUUUCGUCUAUAAUAGACUUACAUCUUGAAGGAGGAGUAGGCAGUUUAGCUGAUUUGCUUUAUUCUCAUCCAUGGUUUUGAUGAUCAGACUAAGAAGAAACAGAGGGAAAAGCUAAUUAGAGGCCUUUGGGGUUUGCUAAUUCAGGCUGGAAAGUACCCAAACCUCCGCCAACUCUUUAAUUUAAAUUGCAUGUUCUCCUUUUGUUAUAAAAUUUGAUGUAAAGCUUUCCAAAAUAAGGGAGGAACCCAAAUGAAGUUUAAAUAAAGUUCAUGUAAGUUUUAACACUCCACUGCUGUACCUGUCAGAUUCCCACCAAUGAGAUUUGAGGUUUGUUCCAAAUUCAAAGUGGUGGGCUAGAGAUAAAUCCUGUCUACUUUCACACCUCCUAUAAAAAUAGAGAGUAAUGGCUGGUU